UCCCUAUGGAAGGAUGUACUGAAGUGAGGUGCGAUUUAUUGUGCGACGUACUUUGUUCAUUUACGUUUUGUGCCGUGUUCCUUCUUCCUCAGUUAUGGAAUGAUUUAUCCUAGCAAAUUGUUGAGGUAAGUUUCUUGCUGUGUGCUUGUGCAGGUACAUUCAACUAACCCUUGGCGUCUAAAAAGUUACAGGUGUGUGCGCUAUUUAUCAACGACUACCUGCUGGCGUCGUCAACAAUCUUCAAAGGAGCGACGGAAAGAAAACGUUUUCCAGUUUUAAAAUAUUAAGCCCCCGGUGAGGACGUCAUUACUUAACAGAAGCCGGUUCAACACGCGCAGCUCCUGUUCAUGACGUCAUCACUAAACUCAAGCCAGCUGAACACGCGCAGCACGGAUGGUACCCCGAGCGCAGUAGGAGGAAGGAAGAACGAGAGGAGGAAGAACGGUAAAUUUGGAAGGGGGAAAGCGUUCUGCCGUCUACACAGCGGGAGUAUGCCAAAACACAUGUGGGAAGGGAGAGGGAUAUUAUUCAAUAAACAGCAUGCGAAUGUGUGCAUAAAGCAAA